ensembl:lncRNA
AACAGCAUGUGGACCUCAAUGUGAAGUUUUAAUUGAUAACCAUCUAAUGGCAUGAAAAAGUGUUUCCGCCCGGUCUCGAACCGGGGACCUUUCGCGUGUUAGGCGAACGUGAUAACCACUACACUACGGAAACUGAUUGAUUGUGACUACAACCCCACUACCCUUAAUAGCCAGGUUCGGUGUCCUUCAACAACUUUGAUGACGUUCAUCUGGGUCAUAUACGCUGGGAACAAAACAAGUCGAAACUGGGAGGGACAACCUGAAGAAACACAUGCAAAACAUUUUAUGUUAUGUGCCCUGAACAUGACCAUGAUAUGCCUAAUGAUUUUUCUGAAAGCCCCCGAGACACUCGCCACUACACUUGGCCACAGCAUUGCCUACUUAACUCACUCAAUAGGGCCGAAUGUAUGCACAGGCUUACCAGGGCUGAAACCCUUGGGCCCAGGCAUGUGGUGAGCCCCAAUACUAAGCAAAUGUAAAAAAUGUUUUAACAAAAAGGAAAUAUAUACUGUAUAUAUUAUAUGUAGUAUAUAUUAUGUAUUUUUUUUUUUUACUGCAACUGCCAACCACAGGAGGACUCAGGAGCCCACUCUCAAUGAGUGUAGACAGCCUGCUGCUGUCUAAUGCAGCUCUGCUAAUCAUCAGAUGGGGUGAUGGUGAGGCGGUGGUUCAGGAACAUGGCUACCAUAGCAUCCUACAGCACUAAACCCUAACCCGGACGUUGCUGGGCCAAUUGUGCGCCGCCCUAUGAGUGUUCUCUGGAGGAGGUGACUGUGAAGGAUGUGAGGAUUCUGCCAAACAUCGACUCCUCCUACCUGCCCAUGAUGCCAGACAGGAUAUGUGAUGCUUGUCGACAACGUGUGGUAUGACUGUGUGUGGGAGGGGGCUGUAUACGGAAGUUUACAUAUACUUUAGCCAAAUUCAUUUAAACUCAGUUUUUCACAAUUCCUGACAUUUAAUCCGAGUAAAAAUUCUCUGUUUUAGGUCAGUUAGGAUCACCACUUUAUUUUAAGAAUGUGAAAUGUCAGAAUAAUAGUAGAGAGAAUGAUUUAUUUCAGCUUUCAUUUCUUUCAUCACAUUCCCAGUAGGUCAGAAGUUUACAUUCUCAAUUAGUAUUUGGUAGCAUUGCCUUUAAAUUGUUUAACUUGGAUCAAAUGUUCCGGGUAGCCUUCCACAAGCUUCCCACAAUAAGUUGGGUGAAUUUUGGCCCAUUCCUCCUGACAGAGCUGGUGUAACUGAGUCAGGUUUGUAGGCCUCCUUUCUCGCACACGCUUUUUCAGUUCUGCCCACAAAUUUUCUAUAGGAUUGAGGUCAGGGCUUUGUGAUGGCCACUCCAAUACCUUGACUUUGUUGUCCUUUAGCCAAAUUGCCACAACUUUGGAAGUAUGCUUGGGGUCAUUGCCCAUUUGGAAGACCCAUUUGCGACCAAGCUUAACUUCCUGACUGAUGUCUUGAGAUGUUGCUUCAAUAUAUCCACAUAAUUUUCAUUCCUCAUGAUGCCAUCUAUUUUGUGAAGUGCACCAGUACCUCCUGCAACAAAGCACCCCCACAACAUGAUGCUGCCACCCCUGUGCUUCACGGUUGGGAUGGUGUUCUUCGGCUUGCAAGCCUCCCCCUUUUCCUCCAAACAUAACAAUGGUCAUUAUGGCCUAACAGUUCUAUUUUUGUUUCAUCAGACCAGAGGACAUUUCUCCAAAAAGUACGAUCUUUGUCCCCAUGUGCAGUUGCAAACCAUAGUCUGGCUUUUUUAUAGCGGUUUUGGAACAGUGGCUUCUUCCUUGCUGAGCAGCCUUUCAGGUUAUGUCUAUCGGUCUGUUUUUUCCUGUGGAUAUAGAUACUUUUGUACCUGGUUCCUCCAGCAUCUUCACAAGGUCCUUUGCUGUUGUUCUGUGAUUGAUUUGCACUUUUAGCACCAAAGUACGUUCAUCUCUAGGAGACAGAACGCAUCUCCUUCCUGAGCGUUAUGAUUGCUGCGUGGUCCCAUGGUGUUUAUGCUUGCGUGCUAUUGUUUGUACAGAUGAACGUGGUACCGUCAGGCGUUUGGAAAUUGCUGCCAAGGAUGAACCAGACUUGUGGAGGUCUAAAAAAAAUUUUUUAGGUCUUUGCUGAUUUCUUUUGAUUUUCCCAUGAUGUCAAGCAAAGAGGCACUGAGUUUGAAGGUAGGCCUUGAAAUACAUUUACAGGUACUCCUCCAAUUGACUCAAAUGAUGUCAAUUAGCCUAUCAGAAGCUUCUAAAGCCAUGACAUCAUUUUCUGGAAUUUUAAAGGCACAGUCAACUUAGUGUAUGUAAACUUCUGACCCACUGGAAUUGUGAUACUGUGAAUAAGUGAAAUAAUCUGUCUGUAAAAUAUUAUUGGAAAGAUUACUUGCGUCAUGCACAAAGUAGAUGUUCUAACCGACUUGCCAAAACUAUAGUUUGUUAUAAAGAAAUUUGUGGAGUGGUUGAAAAACUAGUUUUAAUGACUCCAACCUAACUGUAUGUAAACUUCCAACUUCAACUGUAUGUGUGUAAUUUUUUAUUUGUGCAUUGUGUUGACUGGACAAUGUUAGUACCCUACAUUAGAAGUUGGUGUCCAGUCAUAAGGCACGAGUACCUCACAAUCCUUUUGACUGUGAUCCUGCUCAGUUGACAUGCCGGUAAGUGAAAUCAAACAGCUGAUCGAAAUGUCAUGUGAACAAAUGUUGCAGACAAUACAUUCAAGGGUCACUAUGGAGGAGUUGUUUCCUGACUCAAAAGGAAUACCGUGCUGUCUCCCUCUGAGCAUUAAUGGUGACAGGCAGCCCUAUCUUAUUUCUGGGAAGAACAGUUUUCAAACCCCUUUCCAUUUUCUCUACCGUCCUGCCCAUCCCUUUCCGCUUCUUCACCUCCCCCCUCCUCCAGGUCAUGGACAGAGUGAGGAUGCAGUGUUGGGGGCUGUAGUGUGUCACUCCCCCUCUGUAACCUGGGCAUCUGUCAAAAAGGUUGAACUCUCUCCUUCAAUGUCACCUUCCAGAUAUUCAAGGCAGGAGGACUCUAUGAGAUACGGUACACACAGGAUGGGGAAACACUGUGUGUGUGCGCGGGUGUAUUUCUAAACUUUUGACUGGUACUGUGUGUGUGUGUGUGUGUGUGUGUGUGUAAUGUAUGUAAUGUAUGUAUGUAAAUGUAUACACUGCUCAAAAAAAUAAAGGGAAUUUUUGUGUGAUUUUGUUGUCAGCACAUUCAACUAUGUAAAGAAAGUAUUU